rnacentral:rRNA from 1 species
GACGAACGCUGGCGGCGUGCCUAAUACAUGCAAGUAGAACGCACAGUUUAUACCGUAGCUUGCUACACCAUAGACUGUGAGUUGCGAACGGGUGAGUAACGCGUAGGUAACCUGCCUGGUAGCGGGGGAUAACUAUUGGAAACGAUAGCUAAUACCGCAUAAUAUUAAUUAUUGCAUGAUAAUUAAUUGAAAGGUGCAAUUGCACCACUACCAGAUGGACCUGCGCUGUAUUAGCUAGUAGGUGAGGUAACGGCUCACCUAGGCGACGAUACAUAGCCGACCUGAGAGGGUGAUCGGCCACACUGGGACUGAGACACGGCCCAGACUCCUACGGGAGGCGGCAGUAGGGAAUCUUCGGCAAUGGACGAAAGUCUGACCGAGCAACGCCGCGUGAGUGAAGAAGGUUUUCGGAUCGUAAAGCUCUGUUGUAAGAGAAGAACGGGUGUGAGAGUGGAAAGUUCACACUGUGACGGUAUCUUACCAGAAAGGGACGGCUAACUACGUG